GACGUAGGGCGCGAGCGUUGUCCGGAUUUAUUGGGCGUAAAGAGCUCGUAGGCGGCUUGUUGCGUCGGCUGUGAAAACCCGCGGCUUAACCGUGGGCUUGCAGCCGAUACGGGCAGGCUAGAGUUCGGUAGGGGAGACUGGAAUUCCUGGUGUAGCGGUGAAAUGCGCAGAUAUCAGGAGGAACACCGAUGGCGAAGGCAGGUCUCUGGGCAUUAACUGACGCUGAGGAGCAAAAGCAUGGGGAGCGAACAGG
rnacentral:rRNA from 1 species